rnacentral:rRNA from 1 species
GACGAACGCUGGCGGCGUGCUUAACACGUGCAAGUCGAGCGGUAAGGCCCUUUCGGGGGUACACGAGCGGCGAACGGGUGAGUAACACGUGGGUGACCUGCCCUCAGCUCUGGGAUAAGCCCGGGAAACUGGGUCUAAUACCGGAUAUGACUCCAUGACGCAUGUUGUGGGGUGGAAAGCCUUGUGCGGCUGAGGAUGGGCCCGCGGCCUAUCAGCUUGUUGGUGGGGUGAUGGCCACCAAGGCGACGACGGGUAGCCGGCCUGAGAGGGCGACCGGCCACACUGGGACUGAGACACGGCCCAGACUCCUACGGGAGGCAGCAGUGGGGAAUCUUGCGCAAUGGGCGAAAGCCUG